UCAUCCCAAAACAACGAAAGCCCUACCUCUCUUCCGUCCUUGCGGCUCCAAUGACCGCGCCAGCGUGAAUCAGAAUUUCCUUAACAAA
rfam:Paenibacillus sp. 1DrF-4 scaffold42, whole genome shotgun sequence.